AUACGGAGGGGGCAAGCGUUGUUCGGAAUUACUGGGCGUAAAGGGUGCGCAGGCGGCGUCGUUAGUCAGGUGUGAAAUCCCCGGGCUCAACCCGGGAACUGCACUUGAUACUGCGAUGCUAGAGUUCGGAAGAGGGUAGUGGAAUUCCCAGUGUAGAGGUGAAAUUCGUAGAUAUUGGGAAGAACACCAGUGGCGAAGGCGGCUACCUGGUCCGAUACUGACGCUGAGGCACGAAAGCGUGGGGAGCAAACAGGAUUAGAUACCCCGGUAGUCC
rnacentral:rRNA from 1 species